CACCCCCUGGCCAGCCCAGGGCAGGGGGCUGCUCAGGGCCACCAGCGCCCGGCCACGGGCACGGUGACAGCGGCAGUGCCAGCUAAGCCUAAAGUGGUUUCUCACGCUUGGGGAAAGCAGGAAAGCUUUUGGCAAAGGUUGGAGGUUGAUGUAGAGGUGUUUGGUCAGGGUUCUGUCUCAGGGAGAAGUCCUUGCUGGUGGAUUUUAAUGAUAGGUUCAGGUUUUUCCAUUCAGGUGCAUUUGGUUGGUUUUUAAUAAAUUUCAACCAUAACGUUCAGGUUUUUCCACUCAGGUGCAUUUGGUUGGUUUUUAAUAAAUUUCAACCAUAAUGUUCAAGUUUUUCCAUUCAGGUGCAUUUGGUUGUUUUUUAAUAAAUUUCAACCAUAACGUUCAUGCUUUCAGUUGGGAAAUCCUUCCCUGAUAUUCACAUGGCCUUCUUUUAUACUUUUUAAUCUUUUUUUUUUGUUUUUUGUUCUUUUUUAUAUUCCUAGGAUUUAUUGAGCAAGCUAAAACCAAAACCAAAACAAUAAUGUCAGUGUUUCAUUUGGGAAAUCCUUCCCUGAUAUUCAUAUGGUAUUCUUUUUUAUAUUUUUGUGCUUUUUUUUCCUAGAGCAAGCUAAAACAAAAUUUAACAUCCUACAUGAAAUUACGGUUAGACUUCAACCUUCCUCUUGGUUUGUCAGUCUGUGGCAGUCUAAAAAAGUUCUAAAAGUUCUAAAAAUCCAUGAAACCAAGAGUUUGCAAGAUUCAGAGAGGUUUUUUUUAAUUCAAAAGCCUCUCAGAACACUCAAAUCACAGAAUCUUUUUAUUUGGAAGGGACCCACAAGGAUCAUUGAGUCCACAUCUUAAAUGAAUGGCCCAGACAGGGAUCAAACCCUGUUGGUGUUAUUAACACAAUGCUCCAACUCCUUAUUUUGGAAAUUUGUUAAAAAAGUAUUAAUUCUUCCUUUUAUUUAACUCAGAACGACACUUUGAGGAUUUUAAAGACCUGUGUGGCAUUGGAUAUAAAAUUCUAUAAGCUGGAAUUCCACCUCACCUUGGAGGGAAAGGGUUUGUUUUUUUUUAAUGUAGGUGUUUUUAGACAUCAGGCAGCAGCACUGAGGGGAAAUAAUCUGCAGCAGGAAGCAAAUGAAGCCCUUUGCUGCUGGCUGCUUUAUCCUGAGAUGUGUUUUGAGCCUUUCAGGUACUGCUGGAAUCCAAUUUCUCUGCUGAUUGCUGUCAGACAAGUCUGUCCUCAGCAUUCCACUUGAACAAUUCAUGUGCCUUGAUGCUGUGGUUGGGAAGAGGGGAGCAGGCACCCUCUCAGACAGAUUUUAAAAGUAAAGGUAUUUGGGAGCAGAACCACAUUUCUGGAGACAGCUUCUCAUUUAUGUGCUAGUGACUUAAAAGAUUUCCUUUCUGGAAUGUAAGAGAAUAAAGAGUAACCCUGAUUUUUAUUGUGACCUCUUCCUUCAGCUCAGUCCUGUGACCUGCCCUGCCCUGGGUUGGGUGAAUUUUUAAAGCUGACUGAAUUCAGAGCAAAAUGGGAGCGUUUCAGAUGCAUCUCAGAAUUUGUACAGCAACCAAAAAUUAAAAAAUACAGAUUUUCUGUUCAUAUGCAGAUCUCAAGUUUCCAAGAAAAUACAAUUUAUUGCUCCCCAAUAUUAGUUUGGUGCUAUUUUUUUUUCCCCAGACAUGUUGCUUUUUGCCACUAACCAAACUAACUUAAAGCAAAAGCAAAGUUUUAGUGUUUAUUUGAGGUUUGUAAGUAUUGAAGCUGCAUGCAGAGCUGGUCUGGGAUGUUUUCAUGCAUAUUGGCAGUGCAUGUAUGGAAAGAAACAUUUUCAGUUUUCAUUGUUUCACGCUUGCUGUACCUUUUUUUAUCCAAAAUUUUUGGGUGGCUGGAAAAGGACAAAAGUGCUUUUGAAAGGUGGGUGAUGUGUGGAACUUGGGAGGGGAGGAGGGUUUUGGAAUUCCUGCUGGAGAAGGGUCUGGGCUGCAAACACAGAUAAAAAUGAAUUUUCUAGGGCUGGAAGAUGGGAGAAGAAGGAGGAUUUGACAAAUUCAACCUCAACCCUGUUGUGAUUUUAUUGUAAAAAUUGAUCAGGAAAGUGUGAAACCUCUGGGGAUCCAGUUCUGCCUGUAAUGGUGUGAACUGGGAAAUGGCUGUGGAGGCAUUUGGGAGGUUUUUUCCUAAUGUUCCACAAAAAAGAUUGAGGGCAAAGCAAUCCUGGGAGAAGAGGAUUGUGAAGGGUUCCUGAGAAGGAUUUUUAUUAAAAAAUCCCUGAUUUCUUCUGAGGAGGGAAGAUUUCUUUUAUAAUUUCAGUUCUCCCCACGAAUGUCCAGAUCUUUAAAUAAAAAAACUGGACAUGGAUUGAGCCAUGGUCAUCCUCUUUCUCCAUGGAGAUGGGUGGUACUCCUGGCAGUGAACCCCAAAAGAAUAAACCCCAAAAACUUGUCCCACAGAGUUCUCCAGGGGGCUGUUCCUGGGAAAUUUGAACUGGAAAAUGAUGGAUCACAAAAAUCCUUGGGUUCCCUUUCUUGAUGCAGAGUGGAUCCUGUAGCUGCUCGUGGGGACUCAGCAUUUCUGCCACUAAAAA